UACAGAGGUGGCAAGCGUUGUUCGGAAUUACUGGGCGUAAAGGGCGCGUAGGCGGCAUGGCAAGUGGAAGGUGAAAUCCCUCGGCUUAACCGAGGAACUGCCCUCCAAACUGCUUUGCUUGAGGCCGGGAGAGGUGAGUGGAAUUCCCAGUGUAGCGGUGAAAUGCGUAGAUAUUGGGAAGAACACCAGUGGCGAAGGCGGCUCACUGGCCCGGUACUGACGCUGAGGUGCGAAAGCGUGGGGAGCAAACAGG
rnacentral:rRNA from 1 species